rnacentral:misc_RNA from 1 species
GUACCCUCAAGCUUUGCUUGGUGUUGGGCGUCUUGUCUCUCACGAGACUCGCCUUAAAAUCAUUGGCAGCCGACCUACUGGUUUCGGAGCGCAGCACAAUUCUUGCACUUUGAAUCAGCCUUGGUUGAGCAUCCAUCAAGACCCUAUUUUUGGCUCCAAGAGUAACCCACACGCGUCCCAUUUCAUAGGAACGCUCUUA